UAAAUAAAAUUAUUUUAAAAAAUAUGAUGUGGGUGAUAAUCAGUUUAGAACAUUAUCAUUAUUACACAUCAAUCAAAAGAAAAAAAUGUUUAAUGAUUUUUUGUGUGUGGCUUUUUAAAAAAUUCAUAACUUGAAUAACAUCUAACAACAGUAUUACUGAAAAUCUCCCAUCAGUAUAUACAUGGAUUGAAUUUCCACUAAAGUUCAAAAGCUUAAAAAGUAAUGAAGGAACCAAAUUUUUAAAAAGGAUCAAGAAUUUGAAAAAAAAAAAAUGAGCAAAGGAUUUGAAUAGAAAUUUCUCCACAGAGAUUGCAGACCUGACCAAUAAGCACAUGUGAAGAUGCUCGACUUCAUUAGUCCCUGGGGAAAUGCAAAUCAAUGUCACAUGAGUUACCACUUUAUACCCAAAAAUCAAACAGAAAGGCAGUAACAAGUUUUUUGGCAAAGAUGUGAAAAAAUUAGGACCCUAUAUUGCUGAUUAGAAUCUAAAGUAAUACAGCUGUUUUGGAAAAGAGAUGGACAGUAUAUACCCAAGAGAAAACAUGUUCACACAAAAACUUGUACGUAAGUAUUCACAGAAUUAUUCAUGGUAGCCAAAAAGUAGGAAAAGACAAAACUCCUUUAACUGGUGAAUACAUAAACAAAAUGUGGUAUAUCCAUUCAAUGAAUGUUAUUUAGCCAUAAAAAUUAAUCAAAUGCUGAUACAUGAUACAUCACAGAUGAACCUUAAAAGUAUUAUCCUAAAUGAGAGAAAUCUGAUACAAGUGGUGAGUUACUCUAUAAUUUCAUUUCUGUGAAAUAAUAGGCAUAACCAGAAUAGGCAUAACCAUAAAGACAGAAAAUAGAUGGAAAAUAAAAGAAAAACUACAUAAGAAUUUGGCUUUUCUGUUCACCUAGAAGAUAAAGGUUUCAUAGAGGGAGGACAAAGGAAGAUAUUAUAUCAAAAAUACCAUGGAGGUCUUUUAUACACAAAUUCAGUUCCUCAUUUAAGAACUUUUAAUUGCUGAAGAUCAGUAGAAUGUAAGGAUUACAGAGUCAAGAAGCUGAAUAUAAGCUUUAUUAUCUUCUUAGGAUAACCUAUCAAUGUGAGUAAUUCAAAGGAUUUGGCUUUAGCACAUUGCAGUAUUGAUGUGUAAUAUGCUUUUGAUCCUUUUGCUUCAGAGAUUUUUCUCUUCUUGCCAAUGCAGAGUAAUCUCUUCUCCUUACCUGAUACCUGUUUAUGCAAUGAUAUGAUAUUCUUGAUAGAGCAAUACUACAUCUUUAGCUUUGUCAGAACAAAAA